AGUGAACGCUGGCGGCGUGCCUAAUACAUGCAAGUCGAACGAUGAAGCUCUAGCUUGCUAGAGUGGAUUAGUGGCGCACGGGUGAGUAAUGCAUAGGUUAUGUGUCCUUUAGUCUAGGAUAGCCAUUGGAAACGAUGAUUAAUACUGAUACUACCUACGGGGGAAAGUUUUUCGCUAAAGGAUCAGCCUAUGGCCUAUCAGCUUGUUGGUGAGGUAAUGGCUCACCAAGGCUAUGACGGGUAUCCGGCCUGAGAGGAUGAACGAACACACUGGAACGUAGACACGUGACAGAAGCCUACGGGAGGAAGCAGUAGGGAAUAUUGCUCAAUGGGGGAAACCCUGAAGCAGCAGCGCCGCGUGGAGGAUGAAGGUUUUCGGAUUGUAAACUCCUUUUCUAAGAGAAGAUUAUGACGGUAUCUUAGGAAUAAGCACCGGCUAACUCCGUGCCAGCAGCCGCGGUAA
rnacentral:rRNA from 1 species